GACCACGAUCCAACCCUAAAUACUAAUACCAGAUCGAUAGUGCACAAGUACCGUGAGGGAAAGGUGAAAAGAACUGAGGUGAUCAGAGUGAAAUAGAACCUGAAACCAUUUGCUUACAAUCAUUCAGAGCCCUAUGUAGCAAUACAGGGUGAUGGACUGCCUUUUGCAUAAUGAGCCUGCGAGUUGUGGUGUCUGGCAAGGUUAAGCAAACGCGAAGCCGUAGCGAAAGCGAGUCUGAAUAGGGCGCUUAGUCAGAUGCUGCAGACCCGAAACGAAGUGAUCUAUCCAUGAGCAAGUUGAAGCUAGUGUAAGAACUAGUGGAGGACUGAACCCAUAGGCGUUGAAAAGCCCCGGGAUGACUUGUGGAUAGGGGUGAAAGGCCAAUCAAACUUCGUGAUAGCUGGUUCUCUCCGAAAUAUAUUUAGGUAUAGCGUUGUGUCGUAAUAUAAGGGGGUAGAGCACUGAAUGGGCUAGGGCAUACACCAAUGUACCAAACCCUAUCAAACUCCGAAUACCUUAUAUGUAAUCACAGCAGUCAGGCGGCGAGUGAUAAAAUCCGUCGUCAAGAGGGAAACAACCCAGACUACCAGCUAAGGUCCCUAAAUCUUACUUAAGUGGAAAACGAUGUGAAGUUACUUAAACAACCAGGAGGUUGGCUUAGAAGCAGCCAUCCUUUAAAGAAAGCGUAAUAGCUCACUGGUCUAGUGAUUUUGCGCGGAAAAUAUAACGGGGCUAAAGUAAGUACCGAAGCUGUAGACUUAGUUUACUAAGUGGUAGGAGAGCGUUCUAUUUGCGUCGAAGGUAUACCGGUAAGGAGUGCUGGAGCGAAUAGAAGUGAGCAUGCAGGCAUGAGUAGCGAUAAUUAAUGUGAGAAUCAUUAACGCCGUAAACCCAAGGUUUCCUACGCGAUGCUCGUCAUCGUAGGGUUAGUCGGGUCCUAAGUCGAGUCCGAAAGGGGUAGACGAUGGCAAAUUGGUUAAUAUUCCAAUACCAACAUUAGUGUGCGAUGGAAGGACGCUUAGGGCUAAGGGGGCUAGCGGAUGGAAGUGCU
rnacentral:rRNA from 1 species